ACUUCACCAGACCCGUCCCGCACUUCACACACUUCCUGACUCGAGCCGCCGUCAUUCGCUCCUCGCUGAAAUGCAGGGAUUGAAUCACAGAGAGCCACGCCCACAUGAUCCAGAGAGCGAGAGAGAGAGAGAGAGAGAGAGGGAGAGAGAGAAUGCUGGUGCUUCGGGGGAUCUAAUAACCAUCAGGUCCGUGCUCCUCACUUCUUGAUCUCUCUACCAGACUGCUUCUCGUCUCUUUCAGUACCGGGAAGUGAGAAGAUCCGUGAACGGCUCAAAACAGGACGUGCUUGCCUGUGGGCCAGCUGUUUCACGGGAAGCAGCCGGGCCUGUCCGCUUCCUGGUGCGUCAUCCUGUGUACUGUUUACCCAGCAUCCUCUCUGGGUUAUAAGGAGGCCUGUUGUUUGAGUGUUCUAAUGUUAAACAAAAACGACAUGCAUCUGAAUCAUAACUUGUUUUCUUUUCAUUUCCUCUCGUCUGGGUUUUUGUCUGCUUGGUUUAAAAGCUACACUCGGCAAAAUUAUUUUAAUCAGAACUGUGGGUCACAAAGCUUGAUCACUGCCCAUCACUAAUUCAAUCAAAUAGAAAUGAUGUCUGAUCUGUGAGCACUGCCCCGUUGUAUUUAGACUUUUUGUUUUAAACUCGAAAUCAAACAGAUAAGCUCAUAAGAAACCAAUCAGAGAGACAAUCUACUAACUAUCAUAAUCUGCCUUCUACAUGACUCUCUCUCUCUCUCCUCACCACGGUGCUGCAGAGAGCACAGCAGCUGUGCGGCACACACCUGUUGCUACUUGUUGUUGGACGUGUAUUGAUCGGCUGCCGGUCAGUGUUUUUGACCUCCAAGUCUGACAUAACCGACCUGCUGGAACAAACAGUAACAGUGAUAACGUUUGCCAUGCAUGUCUGGAGCAUCGUUUGGUGGGAUGGGCGUAGCAGAAUGAAUGAAUCGAGGUAGCAGAAGGAGAGGCGGAAGAUUCCCCCUCCCGACUGAAAGAAUCAUGUUGCUUACUGCCCCUUUAACGUCGUAUUGACUUCACCUUUUCUUGUCUACUGGGCGUUUAGUUCACUUGUUUGUGUAAGCACUUUGUAACUCUCCUUUGUUAAGGUGCUUUACUGUAUAUGUGACGUUAUUAUUCUCUUUGGGCGCACUCACACUGGAGAAGAGACUUGCUGGUUGCUAUGACUCAAUAAAAUAUGUAUUUGGAUCAAAAAUGAAACGUUAGAUCUUUACUAACCAAUGUUUUACGAAUCCCCUCCUUAAAAAAAAAAUGACUAAACUGUUCAGACGAUGAGCGUGAGAGUGUCGGUGUGUUGACAAAAGGGGUCCAACUGAGUCCUGUUUGUGUCUUGUCUCUUUUUGUUUAACACACUUACAAGAGCACCCUCAUGCGGAUCUCGUCCCUCUCCAGGACCUGCUCACACGUCUUCCCCACGUGCUGCUUCCACUGGACGUGACACUUUCUGCAGCUCUCCUGGAGAAAGACAAAAGUUCAAUGAGAUCUCAGUGGUGAGGAGCUUGAAAGAGGGAUUCAGUAGAUAGUUUAUAAAAAA